rnacentral:ncRNA from 1 species
UACCUGGUUGAUCCUUCCAGUAGUCAUAUUCUUGUCUCAAAGAUUAAGCCAUGCAUGUCUAAGUAUGAACUAAUUCACACUGUGAAACUGCGGAUGGCUCAUUAAAUAAGUUAUAGUUUCUUUGAUGGUACCCUACUACUCGGAUAACUGUAGUAAUUCUAGAGCUAAUAUGUUCACCAAGUCCCGACUCUUUGGAAGGGAUGCAUUUAUUAGAUAAUAGAUCAACGUGGGCUUGCCUGCUUCUCCGGUGAAUCAUGAUAACUCGACGGAUCGCACAACCCUUGUGCUGGCGAUGCUUCAUUCAAAUUUCUACCCUAUCAACUUUCGAUGGUAGGAUAGAGGCCUACCAUGGUGGUGAUGGGUGACAGAUAAUUAGGGUUUGAUUCUAGAGAGGGAGCCUGAGAAACGACUACCACAUCCAAGGAAGGAAACAUGCGCACAAAUUAACCAAUCCUAACAUGGAGAGGUAGUGACAAUAAAUAACAAUACUGGGCUCAUUGAGUAUGGUAAUUGGAAUGAGUACAAUCUAAAUCCCUUAACGAGGAUCCAUUGGAGGGAAAGUAUGGUGGAAGUAGCCAUGGUAAUUCCAACUCCAAUAGCAUAUAUUUAAGUUGUUGCAGUUAAAAAGCUCAUAGUUGGAU